rnacentral:rRNA from 1 species
UACGAAGGUGGCUAGCGUUGUUCGGAUUUAUUGGGCGUAAAGGGUCCGCAGGCGGUUUAGAAAGUCAGGUGUGAAAUCCAACAGCUCAACUGUUGACACGCAUUUGAAACUUCUAGACUAGAGUGUGAGAGGGGUGAAUGGAAUUUCCAGUAUAGGGGUGAAAUCCGUAGAUAUUGGAAAGAACACCGGCCGCGAAGGCGAUUCACUGGCUCAUUACUGACGCUCAGGGACGAAAGCCAGGGGAGCAAACGGG